rnacentral:rRNA from 1 species
UACGAAGGGGGCUAGCGUUGUUCGGAAUUACUGGGCGUAAAGGGCGCGUAGGCGGCCCUGUCAGUCAGAUGUGAAAGCCCCCGGGGCUACCAACCUGGGAACCGCAUUUGAUACUGCAGGGCUUGAGUUCCGGAGAGGAUGGUGGAAUUCCCAGUGUAGAGGUGAAAUUCGUAGAUAUUGGGAAGAACACCGGUGGCGAAGGCGGCCAUCUGGACGGACACUGACGCUGAGGCGCGAAAAGCGUGGGGGAGCAAACAGGAUUUAGAAACCC